UACGUAGGUGACCAGCGUUGUCCGGAUUUACUGGGCGUAAAGAGCGCGCGGGCGGUCGUUCAAGUCGAGUGUGAAAGCCCCCGGCUCAACUGGGGAGGGUCACUCGAUACUGAUCGACUUGAAGGCAGGAGAGGGAAGCGGAAUUCCCGGUGUAGUGGUGAAAUGCGUAGAUAUCGGGAGGAACACCAGUGGCGAAGGCGGCUUCCUGGCCUGUUCUUGACGCUGAGGCGCGAAAGCUAGGGUAGCAAACGGG
rnacentral:rRNA from 1 species